AACGCGAAGAACCUUACCCAGAUUUGACAUAUAGUGGACGAUAUCAGAGAUGGUAUUUCCCGAAAGGGCCGCUAAACAGGUGCUGCAUGGCUGUCGUCAGCUCGUGCCGUGAGGUGUUGGGUUAAGUCCCGCAACGAGCGCAACCCUUAUCAUUAGUUGCCAACGCGUAAAGGCGGGGACUCUAGUGAGACUGCCUAGGUUAACUAGGAGGAAGGUGAGGAUGACGUCAAGUCAGCAUGGCCUUUAUAUUUGGGGCUACACACGUGCUACAAUGGUCGGUACAGAAGGCAGCGAAGUCGAAAGAUGGAGCAAAUCUCAAAAGCCGAUCUCAGUUCGGAUUGUAGUCUGCAACUCGACUACAUGAAGUUGGAAUUGCUAGUAAUGGCGUGUCAGCAACAGCGCCGUGAAUACGUUCCCGGGCCUUGUA
rnacentral:rRNA from 1 species